GGCGAAGUGUCCGAGUGGUUAUGGAGUGUCGUUCAGGUACUGAGUUACCGGCAUGCUUAUGCGCGCGGGUUCAAAUCCCGUCUUCGUCA
rfam:Cryptococcus amylolentus CBS 6039 supercont1.13, whole genome shotgun sequence.